AAAACUCUAAGCGGUGGAUCACUCGGCUCAUGGGUCGAUGAAGAACGCAGCAAACUGUGCGUCAUCGUGUGAACUGCAGGACACAUGAACAUCGACAUUUUGAACGCAUAUCGCAGUCCAUGCUGUUAUGUACUUUAAUUAAUUUUAUAGUGCUGCUUGGACUACAUAUGGUUGAGGGUUGUAAGACUAUGCUAAUUAAGUUGCUUAUAAAUUUUUAUAAGCAUAUGGUAUAUUAUUGGAUAAAUAUAAUAAUUUUUAUUCAUAAUAUUAAAAAAUAAAUGAAAAACAUUAUCUCACAUUUGAAUGUGAAAAACGAAGAGAAAUAUUUUCUUUUUCAAUCAAAUAAUACUGAGAAAUGUCUAGCAUAAAAAAUUGAAAUAUUUUUCAUCUAGAAUUGUCUCUUAUUAAUGAUUCGGAAAUAGAAAAUCUUGGUUAUGUUAUUUAUUCUUCGUUGGUUCGUUAACAAUGGAUAAAUAAAAACUUUGCAUACAAGAAUUAAUAAAAAUGUUAUAACGAAUUUAAUUAAAUGUUUUAUCAUUAUAUAUAAAGAAUUUAUGGCAAGAUAAAGUUAUAUACAACCUCAACUCAUAUGGGACUACCCCCUGAAUUUAAGCAUAUUAAUUAGGGGAGGAAAAGAAACUAACAAGGAUUUUCUUAGUAGCGGCGAGCGAAAAGAAAACAGUUCAGCACUAAGUCACUUUGUCUAUAUGGCAAAUGUGAGAUGCAGUGUAUGGAGCGUCAAUAUUCUAGUAUGAGAAAUUAACGAUUUAAGUCCUUCUUAAAUGAGGCCAUUUACCCAUACAGGGUGCCAGGCCCGUAUAACGUUAAUGAUUACUAGAUGAUGUUUCCAAAGAGUCGUGUUGCUUGAUAGUGCAGCACUAAGUGGGUGGUAAACUCCAUCUAAAACUAAAUAUAACCAUGAGACCGAUAGUAAACAAGUACCGUGAGGGAAAGUUGAAAAGAACUCUGAAUAGAGAGUUAAACAGUACGUGAAACUGCUUAGAGGUUAAGCCCGAUGAACCUGAAUAUCCGUUAUGGAAAAUUCAUCAUUAAAAUUGUAAUAUUUAAAUAAUAUUAUGAGAAUAGUGUGCAUUUUUUCCAUAUAAGGACAUUGUAAUGGCAUAAUUAUCAUUGAUUUUUGUGUUUAUUAUAUGCACUUGUAUGAUUAACAAUGCGAAAGAUUCAGGAUACCUUCGGGACCCGUCUUGAAACACGGACCAAGGAGUCUAACAUAUGUGCAAGUUAUUGGGAUAUAAACCUAAUAGCGUAAUUAACUUGACUAAUAAUGGGAUUAGUUUUUUAGCUAUUUAUAGCUAAUUAACACAAUCCCGGGGCAUUCUAUAUAGUUAUGUAUAAUGUAUAUUUAUAUUAUUUAUGCCUCUAACUGGAACGUACCUUGAGCAUAUAUGCUGUGACCCGAAAGAUGGUGAACUAUACUUGAUCAGGUUGAAGUCAGGGGAAACCCUGAUGGAAGACCGAAACAGUUCUGACGUGCAAAUCGAUUGUCAGAAUUGAGUAUAGGGGCGAAAGACCAAUCGAACCAUCUAGUAGCUGGUUCCUUCCGAAGUUUCCCUCAGGAUAGAUGGUGCAUUUUAAUAUUAUAUAAAAUAAUCUUAUCUGGUAAAGCGAAUGAUUAGAGGCCUUAGGGUCGAAACGAUCUUAACCUAUUCUCAAACUUUAAAUGGGUAAGAACCUUAACUUUCUUGAUAUGAAGUUCAAGGUUAUGAUAUAAUGUGCCCAGUGGGCCACUUUUGGUAAGCAGAACUGGCGCUGUGGGAUGAACCAAACGUAAUGUUACGGUGCCCAAAUUAACAACUCAUGCAGAUACCAUGAAAGGCGUUGGUUGCUUAAAACAGCAGACGGUGAUCAUGGAAGUCGAAAUCCGCUAAGGAGUGUGUAACAACUCACCUGCCGAAGCAACUAGCCCUUAAAAUGGAUGGCGCUUAAGUUGUAUACCUAUACAUUACCGCUAAAGUAGAUGAUUUAUAUUACUUGUGAUAUAAAUUUUGAAACUUUAGUGAGUAGGAAGGUACAAUGGUAUGCGUAGAAGUGUUUGGCGUAAGCCUGCAUGGAGCUGCCAUUGGUACAGAUCUUGGUGGUAGUAGCAAAUAAUCGAAUGAGACCUUGGAGGACUGAAGUGGAGAAGGGUUUCGUGUGAACAGUGGUUGAUCACGAGUUAGUCGGUCCUAAGUUCAAGGCGAAAGCCGAAAAUUUUCAAGUAAAACAAAAAUGCCUAACUAUAUAAACAAAGCGAAUUAUAAUACACUUGAAUAAUUUUGAACGAAAGGGAAUACGGUUCCAAUUCCGUAACCUGUUGAGUAUCCGUUUGUUAUUAAAAUGGGCCUCGUGCUCAUCCUGGCAACAGGAACGACCAUAAAGAAGCCGUCGAGAGAUAUCGGAAGAGUUUUCUUUUCUGUUUUAUAGCCGUACUACCAUGGAAGUCUUUCGCAGAGAGAUAUGGUAGAUGGGCUAGAAGAGCAUGACAUAUACUGUUGUGUCGAUAUUUUCUCCUCGGACCUUGAAAAUUUAUGGUGGGGACACGCAAACUUCUCAACAGGCCGUACCAAAUCCGCAGCUGGUCUCCAAGGUGAAGAGUCUCUAGUCGAUAGAAUAAUGUAGAUAAGGGAAGUCGGCAAAUUAGAUCCGUAACUUCGGGAUAAGGAUUGGCUCUGAAGAUUGAGAUAGUCGGACUUGAUUGGGAAACAAUAACAUGGUUUAUGUGCUCGUUCUGGGUAAAUAGAGUUUCUAGCAUUUAUGUUAGUUACUUGUUCCCCGGAUAGUUUAGUUACGUAGCCAAUUGUGGAACUUUCUUGCUAAAAUUUUUAAGAAUACUAUUUGGGUUAAACCAAUUAGUUCUUAUUAAUUAUAACGAUUAUCAAUUAACAAUCAAUUCAGAACUGGCACGGACUUGGGGAAUCCGACUGUCUAAUUAAAACAAAGCAUUGUGAUGGCCCUAGCGGGUGUUGACACAAUGUGAUUUCUGCCCAGUGCUCUGAAUGUCAAAGUGAAGAAAUUCAAGUAAGCGCGGGUCAACGGCGGGAGUAACUAUCUUUGACUCUCUUAGACUCUCUCUCUUGGGGAUCAUGGGGUAUUUGAGAGCAGAGGGGGAGUAUUCUUCUGUAAUUCGUAAGUCAUAUCAUAUGAUGUGCGGAAGGGGAAUUUUACUCUGUAACUCACAAGUCUCUCCUUUACUCAAGUCGACUCAAAACCUCCUCGUGGUGGUCCCCGGUAAUGCUAAACUCGUUUAGCAGCUAAUUUGAGCGGCAAAACUUUUCCGAUGGGCUGGUUCCCCAGAGGAAAUUUAUUCAUAUUGGAACUACAAGCACAAAUAACGAGCCUCGGAUACCUUUACACAAUCUGAUGACGACCCGACCCUCCGUGGAUAUCUUCCCGGAGGACCAAUUGAACCAAACGCAGCGGCUACUCUAUCUAGGGUUCCCUGCACAGUAUGUGGCCGGUCCUUUAACAGCAAGAGAGGACUCGGUGUUCACAUGCGAUCUCGGCACCCAGACGAACUUGAUGAAGAACGUCGACGUGUCGAUAUAAAGGCAAGAUGGAGUGAUGAAGAGAAGUGGAUGAUGGCGAGAAAGGAGGUUGAGCUCACAGCAAAUGGAUGUAAACACAUAAACAAGCAACUAGCGGUGUAUUUUGCAAACCGCAGCGUCGAAGCCAUCAAA
rnacentral:rRNA from 1 species